AGUGAACGCUGGCGGCGUGCCUAAUACAUGCAAGUCGAACGGAGUGGCGCACGGGGGAGUAAUGUAUAGCUAAUCUGCCCUACCCUAGAGGGCAACAGUUGGAAACGACUGCUAAUACUCUAGAGUGUAGGAGGAGGCUAUAGUGUAUCAGUUAGUUGGUGAGGUAGUGGCUCACGAAGGCUAUGACGCAUAACUGGUCUGAGAGGAUGAUCAGUCACACUGGAACUGAGGCACGGUGCAGACUCCUACGGGAGGCAGCAGUAGGGAAUAUUGCUCAAGGGGCGAAGCCCUGAGGCAGCAACGCGGCGUGGAGGAGUACACUUGUCGGAGCGUAAACUCCUUUUGUUUGGGAAGCGGUACCUAACGAAUAAGCACCGGCUAACUCCGUGCCAGCAGCCGCGGUAAUAC
rnacentral:rRNA from 1 species